rnacentral:lncRNA from 1 species
GUAGGAGAUCUUGCGGACCUGUGCAGUGGGCCGUCGGAAAGGCAAGCCUGACCCUUUCAAGAGAGGUCAGGCCUGGAGACCAAGGGCACUGAAAGAGAACACAGGGCUGAUUCCUUGACCUUUUGCAGUUCAUAGUCUAGUGAGGAAUACGAAUAAUUACAAAGAGACCACAUCUUGAUGAAAUUAUUACAGCGUAUCACCAGAUCCUAGCUCAGAGGAUGGACCAGGCUUCAGAUGCACAAGACUUCUUUGGAAUGUUCAUGGAAACUUUAUUUACUCAUUGGUGCUUUCUUUGGUUUCUAGGAAAGACUCUUUUACAGCCCUCAGCACUGUUAUUGCGUGAACUGGCUCAGCAUGGCCGGCCCAGUGAAGGACGCCAGUGGUAGUAACCGGGGAAGAGGGAUCCCCUGGCUCUUCUUACCAAACUUCUUCGAUCGUUUGGAGUGGUUUGGCCAUCAGUUAGUCAGGAAGAGGCCAGAAGGACACGUGCUGAUAAUGCUUCAAGAAAGUUAAACUUUAGGAAAAACUCGACCGAAGUAAAAAUAGCUAUGUAGUCAGUGACCAAAGCUACUUGGAUGGUCCUGUUGAUUGCUCUUG